rnacentral:rRNA from 1 species
GAUGAACGCUAGCUACAGGCUUAACACAUGCAAGUCGAGGGGAAACGACAUCGAAAGCUUGCUUUUGAUGGGCGUCGACCGGCGCACGGGUGAGUAACGCGUAUCCAACCUGCCCAUCACUUGGGAAUAACCUUGCGAAAGUAAGACUAAUACCCAAUGACAUCCCACGAAGACAUCUGAAUGGGAUUAAAGAUUUAUCGGUGAUGGAUGGGGAUGCGUCUGAUUAGCUUGUUGGCGGGGUAACGGCCCACCAAGGCAACGAUCAGUAGGGGUUCUGAGAGGUAGGUCCCCCACAUUGGAACUGAGACACGGACCAAACUCCUACGGGAGGCAGCAGUGAGGAAUAUUGGUCAAUGGGCGAGAGCCUGAACCAGCCAAGUAGCGUGCAGGAUGACGGCCCUAUGGGUUGUAAACUGCUUUUAUAAGGGAAUAAAGUGGGUCUCGUGAGACUUUUUGCAUGUACCUUAUGAAUAAGGACCGGCUAAUUCCGUG